rnacentral:rRNA from 1 species
UACGAAGGGGGCUAGCGUUGUUCGGAUUUACUGGGCGUAAAGCGCACGUAGGCGGAUCGUUAAGUCGGGGGUGAAAUCCUGGAGCUCAACUCCAGAACUGCCCUUGAUACUGAGAGGCUCGAGUCCGGGAGAGGUGAGUGGAACUCCGAGUGUAGAGGUGAAAUUCGUAGAUAUUCGGAAGAACACCAGUGGCGAAGGCGGCUCACUGGCCCGGUACUGACGCUGAGGUGCGAAAGCGUGGGGAGCAAACAGG